AACACAGUAGAGUUGUGACUAUCCUGAGAGCCACUGAGCCACUGCAUAUUACCCUAUGGGUAAUGAGGAAGAGAAGUCAUCUAACCUUAGUGGGUAAGCCCUGGUUGUUGUGUGGCCUGCCCAGACCUCUGAACCUGCCCAUCUCUCAAGACUAUGGAUGAUAGCAGCAGCUGUGUGUGCUGAUGGGUAGCCUGCAUUUCAGUUUCUGUCUCAGCAGCUCAAAUAGCUCAGCCCAAAAAGCACUAGUCCUCGAAAUACAAAGAGCAUGAAGAAAGCAGGAUGGCAUCUCCAGCUCCACUUUAUCCCUACUGAUGAUUUGGAAGUUUGUAGAACUUGGAACUACAUACCAGAGAGAUGCAGACACACACACCCAGGAUUGUUAUCUUGCACUGGACUGGAGGGUGAAAAGAAAUCUAAUUCUCCAUGCUUAGAAUUUUUGAUGGUUUACAUCAACCCAACCAAGAAGUGAGGACCAAUGGCUGUCACCUGACAACAGACACUCAAGUUAACCUUCAUGCAGAGAGUAAGAAAUGGGGAAAGAAAUCUGGAUUAUUUAGGGAAAUCAAUUCACACAUAAAUCAUAGGAGUGGAAAAUAAGUUUUUCUUCCUGUUAAACACAAUAGAGAAAGUCAACCAAAUCAAAUAUUUUGUUUAGUAAAACGGAUACAUUUGGGGGAAAAUUUUUAAGAAUUAAAAAGACAGUACAAAUAGAUGAAACAGGGAAGAUAAACUAAGAUAAAGCAGAUAUCAAAAUAAUAAAAUCAUAUGGACUUUAUACAAAUAAAUUUGAGCAUUUAUACAAAGUGAACAAUUUCCAAGGAAAAUACAAUUUUGCAUAACGGAGUCAGGAAGAAAUGGAAAACCAAAGGAAUCUAUAAUCAUUGAAGACACUGAAUCUAUAAUUAUAUAAAACUCUAUUCUACCACCCCAAAAAGGAAGAAGAAAGAGGAGAAAAUGGAGGGGAAAGUGAAGAACUACCACCAGGUCGAAAUUAUUUUAAUAGCGAGUUCUACCAAAUAUUGGAACAGGCAAAUCCAAGCUUACAUAAAUGCUUCCAGAUAAUGCAGGCCACCCAAAUUGUUCUCAAAGAUGAUUUUACUUUCUUCUCUGAGGAAGAACAAUGCUGUUUCCUCUCAAUUUCUUGAAUUUGCUUUGGUAACUUUUACUUUCUUUUCAUACAACAUUCAAAGGGAGGAGAACGGGCUGGAAAAAUAUUAUUCCUUAUCUAAUUGAAGAAUGGUCAAUAUGAAAUCAGAGAUACACACACACAGCCUCCAUUUUAAAGGGAGUGUCAAUAUUGAUCUUUAAAAAAUUAAAAGGGAAACACUACACAUCUGCUAGAAUGGCCAAAUUCCAGAACACUGACAACACCAAAUGCUGGUGAGGAUGUGGAGCAACAGGAACCUCCAUUCACUGCUGGUAGGGAUGCAAAAUGGUACAGCUAUGUUGGAAGACAGUUUGGCAGUUUCUUACAAAACUAAACACACGAUUAAGUUGUGCUCCUUGGAAUUUUCCCAAAAGAGUUGAAGACUUACAUCUUACACAAAAACCUGCACAUAGAUGUCUAUAGCAGCUUCACUUAUCAUUGCCAAAACUUAGAAGCAGCCAAGACGUCCUUCGGGAGGUGAAUGGACUAAUAAACUAUGAUACAUACAGACAAUGUAAUAUUUCUGGGAGCUGAAAAGAAAUGAGCCAUCAAGCCAUGAAGAGACAUGUAGAAAUCUUUCCUGCAUGUU
rnacentral:lncRNA from 1 species